AGCGAACGCUGGCGGCAUGCCUAACACAUGCAAGUCGAACGAACCUUUCGGGGUUAGUGGCGGACGGGUGAGUAACACGUGGGAACGUGCCCUUAGGUUCGGAAUAACUCAGGGAAACUUAUGCUAAUACCGAAUGUGCCCUUCGGGGGAAAGAUUUAUUGCCUCUAGAGGGGCACGCGUCUGAUUAGCUAGUUCGUUAAGGUAAUGGCUCAUCAAGGCGACGUUCAGUAGUUGGUCUGAGAGGAUGAUCAGCCACAUUGGGACUAAGACACGGCACAAACUCUUACGCGAGGCGGCAGAGGGUGAUCUUGCGCAAUGGGCGAAAGCCUGACGGAGCCAUGCCGCGUGAAUGAUGAAGGUCUUAGGAUUGUAAAAUUCUUUCACCGGGGACGAUAAUGACGGUACCCGGAGAAGAAGCCCCGGCUAACUUCGUG
rnacentral:rRNA from 1 species